rnacentral:lncRNA from 1 species
CUAGCCUCUGCAUUUUUUCCUGUCCAAUCUAUUCCCUGGCUAGCUUGUGCAGAAGUGUCUACAAUAUCGCUAUUACUACAAGUUACAACACAAGUAUUGUGCCAGACACUAUGUAGGUCACUACAGCUGUCCCAAAACAACUGAGCUACAAGCAGAGAGUUGCAAGAGACCAGAACGAGACUGAAAAUAACAAACACUUUGAAGUGUUCUAGGUCAUGCCUGGAAGCUGUGGGAAGUCAGUGGGGGAAGAGUUAUUCCACACAAUUAAUAACCUGGAUGAAGAUAUGAAUUUGGUGUUCAUCAUUUCCUCCUCUCAUUUCUGCAGUGAAUACUUCAAUGACGCACUUCAGUGUAAAACUAGGAAUUCCUACUUUUUUCUCUUUUACGGUUAUCCUGAUUGCAUUCAGUAUUCUUUCUGGAUAGUAAGAUUUGCCACAGAAAAAAAAUACACUUGUCAUUUAUCUUCCUGAUCUACCAGACACAGUUAUUUGUCAUUGGCAAUUUCCUUCCUUACCUCUUAGAUCCCAUUUUCUUCUCCCAAACUUCCCAAUCCCAUACUUCCUCAACCCCCCUAAGGGUCUACCUUAUGCUAUUUAUGUACCCCUUGCAAGCUGUCCUGCCCAGCAAAGACGCAUGAGGAGCGGCUGAGGUCCCUUGGUUUGCUCAGCCCCGAGCAGAGCAGGCUGAGGGGAGGCCUCAUGGCGGCCUGCAGCUCCCUCACGAGGGGAGCGGAGGGGCAGGCGCUGAGCUCUGCUUUCUGGGGACAGCGACAGGACCCGAGGGAACGGCAUGGAGCUGGGACAGGGGAGGGUCAGGCUGGGGGUUAGGGAAGGGGUCUGCACCCAGAGGGUGGUCGGGCACUGGGACGGGCUCCCGUGGGAUGUGGUCCCAGCACCGCCUCACGCGGGCGCCCAGCGGGGCAGCAGCGCCCUCCAUGGGCACCGACCGCUGCCUGGCGGCGCCGCCGAGCCCCGGGCACCCCCGUUCUGCCAUGGCCGGGACGUGUCGCCCUCAGGGAGCCCGAACCAUGUCAGACACCUAGCAGGGAAGGGCGCUUUGUCCCCCAAAGCCGGCGUGGGGUUGAGGGCGGGCACAGCUCGCUGCCCGCCCCCUGCUCGGCCCCUUCUCCUCCCUGCCGCCGCUCCUCCUUCCCUCCCCGCCGCACCGGCGAGGCUGCGGGGCCGGCGGGGAAGGCGGCGCUGCCUGCGGGGAGGAAGCCGGAUGAAGCCCCUCGGGCAUGCAGCGAGCCGCGGGGACCCUGCCCAGGAGCCCAGCGGCGGCAUCAGGAAGACAGCUGCCUUCAGAUGA